rnacentral:rRNA from 1 species
ACGAUGGUAGCUUGCUACCAGGCGUCAAGUGGCGGACGGGUGAGUAACGCGUAGGAAUCUGCCCAGUAGUGGGGGACAACCAGGGGAAACCCUGGCUAAUACCGCAUACACUCUACGGAGAACAGGAGGCCUUCUUGAAAGCUUUCGCCAUUUGAUGAGCCUGCGUGAGAUUAGCUAGUUGGUAGGGUAAAGGCCUACCAAGGCGACGAUCUCUAGCUGGUCUGAGAGGACGAUCAGCCACACUGGGACUGAGACACGGCCCAGACUCCUACGGGAGGCAGCAGUGGGGAAUAUUGGACAAUGGGCGCAAGCCUGAUCCAGCAAUACCGCGUGUGUGAAGAAGGCCCUAGGGUUGUAAAGCACUUUCAGCAGUGAAGAAAUGCUUAAGGUUAAUACCCUGAGUCUUGACGUUAACUGCACAAGAAGCACCGGCUAACUCCGUGCCAGCAGCCGCGGUAAUACGGGGGGUGCAAGCGUUAAUCGGAUUUACUGGGCGUAAAGCGCGCGUAGGUGGUUUGGCAAGUUGGAUGUGAAAGCCCCGGGCUCAACCUGGGAAUUGCAUCCAAAACUGCUAAGACUAAGUGUAGUAGAGGGAAGUGGAAUUCCGGGUGUAGCGGUGAAAUGCGUAGAUAUCCGGAGGAACACCAGUGGCGAAGGCGGCUUCCUGGACUAACACUGACGCUGAGGUGCGAAAGCGUGGCGAGCAAACAGGAUUAGAUACCCUGGUAGUCCACGCCGUAAACGAUGUCAACUAGCCGUUGGGAGGAUUGCCUCUUGGAGUGACUGAGCGAAAGCAUUAAGUAAUCCACCUGGGGAGUACGAUCGCAAGAUUGAAACUCAAAGGAAUUGACGGGGGCCCGCACAAGCGGAGGAACAUGUGGUUUAAUUCGAUGAUACGCGAGGAACCUUACCUGGGCUUAAAUGUAGAUUGACAGGACUGGAAACGGUUUUUUCUUCGGACAAUUUACAAGGUGCUGCAUGGUUGUCGUCAGCUCGUGCCGUGAGGUGUCGGGUUAAGUCCCAUAACGAGCGCAACCCCUAUCGUUAGUUGCUAGCAGGUAAUGCUGAGGACUCUAGCGAGACUGCCGGUGUAAACCGUGAGGAAGGUGGGGAUGACGUCAAAUCAGCACGGCCCUUAUGUCCAGGGCUACACACGUGUUACAAUGGUAGAUACAAGGGGCAGCUACCAUGCGAAUGGAUGCUAAUCUCGAAAACCGGGCUCAGUUCGGAUCGGAGUCUGCAACUCGACUCCGUGAAGCUGGAUUCGCUAGUAAUCGCGCAUCAGCCAUGGCGCGGUGAAUACGUUCCCGGGCCUUGUACACACCGCCCGUCACACCCGGAAAAUUGAUUGCACCAGAAGUCGUUGAGCUAACUU